CUUCUCGACUGGCCCGUGACCCAAACCUGUGGCCACAUUUCAAGUGUUCACCAGCCACGUCUGCUAGCAGCUAUGGAAUACUUCCUUUGUCACAGAAGGUUCUACUAGAGAGACUGUUUGGGCCAAACACCAAUAAUGCGUGUUGUCACCGAGUGGAAAACGGACAAGCGUGCUUAGAAGAAACCAGAACACCAUGAUGAUCUUGCCUGAGGGAUCCAGCUGUCCACCUAUAGGAAGGACAGAGGACAGGGGGAUGUGCUGAACAGCAAUCAGAAAACCAGAUGUGGGGGAAUUCUACAUAUCCAAUGAUCUAACUUUUUAAAAAGUUAAUAAUGAGAAGAAAAAGAAAGAUAUAAGGAGGAAUUUGCAGAUUCCAAGAGAAUUAGAAAUUUCAAAGUAAAAGGGUGAAACGACCCUGUCUGUGAAUGGACCCUGGAUGAAGAAACUCCCCCAAAAUGCAAAGAAAUGAUGACACUGUAAAAGUCAGGGAGCAGUUACUAGUGGGGGAAGAGCUGUGAUUGACUCAGGGCCCCUGGGAGCACUUCAGGUGAGUCCAGAGAACUCUAUUUUGUUGACCUGAGUGCUGGCUACAAAGUGUUCACCUUCAAAUAACUCACUAAGCCCUAGUUUUUGUUUUUCAUGGCUUUCUCUAUCA
rnacentral:lncRNA from 1 species